GACAUGAACAGCUCUUUCUGCCUUUUUUUGGGUGUGAGGAAUUUAGACUGUCAUUGCCAUGUCUAUGGAGUUGCUGGGUGGGUGAGGAGAACCAGGAAGAGUGACGUGCUGGUCUCCCAUGACAGAGGAGUGAGCAAUGUAUUGGAGAAUCUUCUUUACAAGAGAACUAACCAAAGCCCCAGCAUACGGUGUUUGUUGACGUCAAUGGUCUGAAACAUUCUCUGAACGGAUUGUCCGGCCAAAUCUAUGAUGGUUGAAGUUUCAAGGCCAUGUGGUUUGCGGCCAGUUGCAAAACUGAAGGAUAUCCAUAAAUGUCUAGAAGCAUACAACUCUCGGCUUUUCAAAUCUGCCCACAAGGCAGGUAGAGAGAUGGAUUUCAAAACCAACAGACACUGUUCUUUCUCCUUGCAAUGAUGGCAUUCAUCAUCUUUGUUUUCCUAGCAUUAUGAUUUUCCAUGAGUUAUCACCACUUUUAUGACACAUUCUGGGGUGUGUACAGGAGAAGACUAAGCUGCUGGGAAUACUUUUUGGGGGCUCCAAAAUUGUGGGUGAUGUCAAGAUGUUAAGUCGCUUCUUUUUAAGAGUAUGAUGAAUAUCUUAGCUACAAGUCUUUCAUGGGGCUGGCCGAUGAGGCUGAGAGAGCCCUUCAAUAAUGCCUAUUAAAACAAACCUUCAGCACGGUCCCAAAGUGUCACUUCCCCCUGUCACUUCUUUUAAUUAUAUAGAACUUCUUAAAAUAGAAAUGAUUCACAUUCAAUUAGUAUCAAGCUGACCCACCAUUAAUAUAAUCCCCAAUAUAAACCCAGAAGGAAGUACCAGUAAAAUAAAACAAAGUUGUAUAAAUAUUCUUUAUUUCACUAUAGAAUAAAUACCUUAGCACCUCUGAACAUUCAGUAUUUCCCAAGGGUCUACAUAGCAUAGAGCAGCAGGGGUAAGCACCAACAUGAGCUAUUUUAUUUGACAUGAACAAACAAAUAAGCUAGUGAUGAGUUUGGAUAAAGUGGUUAACAAAUUCCAAGUUGACAUCUGUCUUCCUGAGUUUCUCAUGGUUACAGUAUGUACAUAGUUUUGACAAUCUGGUGCUGGUUGGGAAUUUUGGAUUCCAUUGUUAAUGGGCAUUUUACUGUGCAUAUGAGACUUCUGUGUGAGGUAUGGUAUAUAGAGAGAAAAAAACAAAGCGCCAACAAAACUAUAGGCUGCUCGGGAGGCUAUGAAAUAGUCAUUUGAAAUUCAUCACCAGUAGAACUCUCUCCCACCAUGUUGACGUUAGUUCUCACUACCAGGCAGAAAAUUUGGUUCUGAGGGUACAAUGAAAAUAGAUUGUGGUUCACGACAUGUAAUGAAAAUAAAUAAAGCAUGACAGAGAAUCCCCCCAAAAUACGUUCCUUGUAAGGACCUGCAACUGCUUUAUUAUUGCAGGGUCUCACUUGAAAGCAUUUUUGUCAUUUCUUGGGGAAAAAUUUAAAUAGUUGCAGAUACUUUUGGAAUAGUAAUUACCUAGGAAUGGUAAAGUUCAGGAAAUGGAGUUGGGCAUGUUGGGGAACCACUUCCCCCAUGAAGCUGGGCCGCCGAGUCAGCAGAAUCUCCCCCCAGAAAGAAGUCACUCUGACAAAUCUGCUUCUUAAAUUAUUUGGGGGGAUUUUUUUUUCUAAUGGAGGUCAUACUCAGACCAGGUUCUUCCUAGCAUUCUAGUCUUAGUGUGCUGUGUAAGUUGUGGCAAAAUUCCCUUUAAACACAAUGCACUCAGUGACAGGGAUGAUGUUCAAGACCCAACACAUAAUCAGUUGUAAGACCAGGUGUCUGGCCAGCAGAUUGGAAAGACAAACACUGAACAUGCAUAUCAUUAGCUCAAGUAUGAAAAUUACAUUAAACUGUACAACUUCUGCCCCCCAAGUUUAUGUUUAGCAGACAAUACCUGGAUGGAAAACAAAACAAAAUAAAAUAAAACAAAAUGUU